ACAGGUAAUGGCCAUCUUCACUCUACUCAAAGCUGUCCUGGCCACAGCUGGAGUACUGUGUUCACUUUUAGUCACUGCUCUGCAAAACAGAUGUGGUUGGCCUGCAGAGGAUACACAGAGGAGCACAGUAAUAUGAUCCAAGAACUGGGAAGUUGCCGUAUGAGGAAACCCUGAAAGAACAGGUUUUGAUCACCUCCAGUAGUUAAAAGGAGGCUACAAAAAGGUGGAGGCUCCCUUUUUACAAGCAGUCCCAUGGAAGAAGACAUGGGAUAAUGGGAACAAGUCAGCCCUACGGAGAUUCCAGACACUCUGCCCCAGGCCUAGAGCAUUCAUGGCAUUUUUAUCGGCUUGGCCGGUACAGCUGAAGGCUGUGCAGCUAUCCAGAGAGACCUGGACUGACUGGAGAGCUGGGCACAGAGGAACCAGAUGAAGUUCAACAAGGGCAAGUGCAGGGUCCUGCACCUGGGGAGGAAUAAUAAACUGCACCAGUCCAGGCUGGGAGGGCAUCUGCUGGAGAGCAGCCCUGUGAAGAGGGGUGGCUUCUCUGGAGACUUCCAAGGCUUUAAGUUCCAGGAACUCAAGCAAGAGGAUCCACCUUAUCAUAUAAGGAGGGGUCAAGAAAAGGGACACCCGAGGAGGACUACCCGCCUUCAGCACGACGAUCACCAGGAGGCAGAGAAAGACCCCCAAGCAACACAUCGCACAUGCGCAGAGUACUACAGGAAGAACACGCCAGACUAUGAAAGGAGGGACUGGAACUGGCUCGGUGCGGCAGUUGGCAGAGCGGAGGCUCCCCUGCGCCCAGCGCUGCUCCCUGCUUGCCAAAAUAAAAUUCCUUAAACUUA